GCCGGGGUACCCUAGCCCGGUCAAGGGGCGGGCCUGGAGAGCCCGUGGCCCCCUGAGUUUCGGGGAUGGCCGCGUGGGUUCGAAUCCCACCCCCGGCG
rnacentral:tRNA from 2 species